UUACCUGCCGGCUUUAUGCAGCAGGCACAGGCUCUUAUCGUGAACUGUCGCAUUCUUGCGUGCGCAGUUUCGCAUGCUCUAUUGGUGGAUUGCAGCUAGUUUCGUGCCGGUUUCUGGCGUGUCCAGACGUAUAUCGCGCAACGCGUUUUGGUUUAUCAAACCUCUAUUUCAAUCGAUUUAGUGGUAAUAUGUAUCUGCAGUGUUUUUAUAAGUAAUUGUGCGUUGUGCUUGCUUUUGAUGUUUAUAUUUCAAAUUACAAUGCUGCGGCUUUAUUGUCGGUUAUUGGGGGACGUGGUCGGUCGCCAGAUCAAUCGGAAACCUAUUCGUGCUUGAUACUUGCCGUACUUUUACAAUCCGAGGAGCGCUGUAUUGAUUCACAUCUACCGCUCCUCUCGUACGGUACCUUGAACACGAGUCACCUACACCGCUACCCUCAUACGGUGCCCUGAAUACGAGUCCCUUCUACCGCUAGCUUCGUACGAUGCCCUGAAUGCGAGUCACAUCUACCGCUGCCCUCAUACGGAGUCUUGACCACGAGUCACAUCUACCGCUGCCCUCGUACGGUGCCCUGAACGCGAGGCACUUGUACCACUACCUUCGUACGGUGCCUUGAAUGGGUGUCUUUAUGGAUCCUUUGUUGGAGGAAGCAUUGACUAAUCCUGAGAUAGCCAAGUUUAUCGAUAAGGACCAACUGGAGAGUUUCCGUGGUAGUGAUUACUGAAGAUGGAUGUGUCAACUGGACUACAGUCCAAGAACUGUCCAAGAAAGAAGAUUGGAUUGCCGGUGUUGAUGAUGAUUCCAAUUACGAUUGAAUGAAUUUACAUCAUUUAGAAACUGUUAUUGAUAUCAUUUUUGUUUAUUUUGUUAAAAGUUAUAAAAGUGCAUUAUAUAAUUGCAUAUUAUUAUCCUGUUUUCUUGCUUGUAUUUUUAAAAAUGCUGUAUAUACUGAGAAAUUGAGUUUAUGAU